rnacentral:rRNA from 1 species
AGGGCGUACGGUGGAUGCCUUGGCGAUAUCAGCCGAAGAAGGACGCGGUAAGCUGCGAUAAGCUACGGAGAGGUGCAAGCAACCUUUGACCCGUAGAUUUCCGAAUGGGGGAACCCGGCAGUGGUUAUGCACUGUCACCCAUACCUUUGAGUAUGAGGAGGGCACCUGGGGAACUGAAACAUCUAAUUACCCAGAGGAAAAGUAAUCAAACGAGAUUUUCUUAGUAGCGGCGAGCGAACGGGAAAGAGGCCAAACCGGAGCGGGCAACCGCACCGGGGUUGAGGACAGUCAUCAAGUGUAAAUGAGGUAGAAGAAUCGAGUUGGAAAGCUCAGCCGAAGAAGGUGAAAGCCCUGUAAUCGAAACCUUGCAUACAUGGGACUGUAUCCAGAGUACCACGAGACACGUGAAACCUUGUGGGAAGCAGGGGGGACCACCCUCCAAGCCAAAAUACUGAUAUCGACCGAUAGCGCAUAGUACCGUGAGGGAAAGGUGAAAAGAACCCCUGGCGGGGAGUGAAAGAGAACCUGAAACCGUAUGUCUACAAACAGUCGAAGUCUGUAUAUAUAUCAGGACGACGGCGUGCCUAUUGAAGAAUGAACCGACGAGUUACUGUUGCUAGCGAGGUUAAGUGGAAAACACGGAGCCGCAGCGAAAGCGAGUCUGAACAGGGCGUUCAGUUAGUAAUAGUAGACCCGAAACCGUAGUGAUCUAUCCAUGGCCAGGUUGAAGCACAGGUAAAAUUGUGUGGAGGACCGAACUCGUGAGCGUUGAAAAGCUUUGGGAUGAGUUGUGGAUAGGGGUGAAAUGCCAAUCGAACACGGAGAUAGCUGGUUCUCCCCGAAAUAGCUUUAGGGCUAGCCUCGAGGUUGAGAGUAUAGGCGGUAGAGCACUGAUCGGGCUAGGGGCCAUACCGGUUACCGAACCUAGUCAAACUACGAAUGGCUAUACUUAUACUCGGGAGUCAGACAGUGAAUGAUAAGGUCCAUUGUCAAGAGGGAAACAGCCCAGAACACCGACUAAGGUCCCAAAUGUUACACUAAGUGGCGAAGGAUGUGGAAUUUCCAAAACAACCAGGAUGUUGGCUUAGAAGCAGCCACCAUUUAAAGAGUGCGUAAUAGCUCACUGGUCGAGAGACUCUGCGCCGAAAAUGUCCGGGGCUAAAGUGUAAAACCGAAGUCGUGUCAUAUGCAGCAAUGUAUAUGGGUAGGGGAGCGUUCUCAUUGGGUUGAAGCAGUACCGUAAGGAGUUGUGGACUGAUGAGAAGUGAGAAUGUCGGUAUGAGUAGCGAAAAGAAUGGUGAGAAUCCAUUCCACCGAAAGCCUAAGGGUUCCUGAGCAACGAUCGUCGUCUCAGGGUAAGUCGGGACCUAAGCCGAGGCGGAAAAGCGUAGGCGAUGGACAACAGGUUGAAAUUCCUGUACCGGUGUGAAUCGUUUGAUCGAUGGAGUGACACAGUAAGGUAGGUCAGCACGCGAUUGGAAGUGCGUGUUUAAGCAUGUAGGUUGAGUUAUAGGCAAAUCCGUAACUCUAAAAGCUGAGAUGUGAUGACGAGUUACUAGCGAUAGUAACGAAGUGAUUGAUCCUACACUGUCGAGAAAAGCUUCUAGGUAGAGACACAUCGCCCGUACCAUAAACCGACACAGGUAGGCGGGGAGAGAAUCCUAAGGUGCGCGGGAAAACCCUCGUUAAGGAACUCGGCAAAAUGCCUCCGUAACUUCGGGAAAAGGAGGACUCAUGUAGUGUGAAGUGCAGCAACGCUUGGAGCAUGAAUGAGUGGCACAAGAGAGGCGCAAGCGACUGUUUACCACAAACACAGGUGCCUGCUAAAGCGAAAGCUGAUGUAUAGGUGCUGACACCUGCCCGGUGCUGGAAGGUUAAGAGGAGGGGUUAGACUUCGGUCGAAGCUCUGAAUUGAAGCCCCAGUAAACGGCGGCCGUAACUAUAACGGUCCUAAGGUAGCGAAAUUCCUUGUCGGGUAAGUUCCGACCCGCACGAAAGGUGUAACGACUUGCGCACUGUCUCAACGAGGGACCCGGUGAAAUUGAAGUACCUGUGAAGAUGCAGGUUACCCGCGACUGGACAGAAAGACCCCAUGGAGCUUUACUGCAACCUAAGAUUGAACUUAGUUAAUGAAUGUACAGGAUAGGUGGGAGACGUAGAACCUAGGACGCCAGUUUUAGGGGAGUCAUUGUUGGGAUACCACCCUUUCAUUAAUUGAUUUCUAACGGGCCGAGUAACGACCGGCCGGACAGUCUUAGGCGGGCAGUUUGACUGGGGCGGUCGCCUC